GGCAGACGGGUGAGUAACAUGUGGGUAUCUGCCCUUUGGCCUGGAAUAACACGAGGAAACUUGUGCUAAUACUGGAUAAGUCUUUACGGAGAAAGCUUUAUGCACCAUUGGAUGAGCCUGCACUUGAUUAGUUUGUUGGUGGGGUAAUGGCCCACCAAGACUUAGAUCAAUAGCUGAUUUGAGAGGAUGAUCAGCCACACUGGGACUGAGACACGGCCCAGACUCCUACGGGAGGCAGCAGUGGGGAAUUUUCCGCAAUGGGCGAAAGCCUGACGGAGCAACGCCGCGUGAGGGACGAAGGCCUCUGGGCUGUAAACCUCUUUUCUCAAGGAAGAAGAUAUGACGGUACUUGAGGAAUAAGCCACGGCUAAUUCCGUGCCAGCAGCCGCGGUAAUACGGGAGUGGCAAGCGUUAUCCGGAAUUAUUGGGCGUAAAGCGUCCGCAGGCGGCUUUUCAAGUCUGCUGUUAAAGCGUGGAGCUUAACUCCAUCAUGGCAGUGGAAACUGAAAGGCUUGAGUAUGGUAGGGGCAGAGGGAAUUCCCGGUGUAGCGGUGAAAUGCGUAGAUAUCGGGAAGAACACCAGUGGCGAAGGCGCUCUGCUGGGCCAUUACUGACGCUCAUGGACGAAAGCCAGGGGAGCGAAAGGGAUUAGAUACCCCUGUAGUCCUGGCCGUAAACGAUGAACACUAGGUGUCGGGGGAAUCGACCCCUUCGGUGUCGUAGCUAACGCGUUAAGUGUUCCGCCUGGGGAGUACGCACGCAAGUGUGAAACUCAAAGGAAUUGACGGGGGCCCGCACAAGCGGUGGAGUAUGUGGUUUAAUUCGAUGCAACGCGAAGAACCUUACCAGGGUUUGACAUCCUGCGAACCUCUUAGAAAUUUGAGGGUGCCUUCGGGAAUGCAGUGACAGGUGGUGCAUGGCUGUCGUCAGCUCGUGUCGUGAGAUGUUGGGUUAAGUCCCGCAACGAGCGCAACCCACGUUUUUAGUUGCCAGCAUUUAGUUGGGCACUCUAGAAAGACCGCCGGUGAUAAACCGGAGGAAGGUGUGGAUGACGUCAAGUCAUCAUGCCCCUUACACCCUGGGCUACACACGUACUACAAUGCUACGGACAAAGGGCAGCAAACUCGCGAGAGCUAGCAAAUCCCAUAAACCGUGGCUCAGUUCAGAUCGUAGGCUGCAACUCGCCUACGUGAAGUAGGAAUCGCUAGUAAUCGCAGGUCAGCAUACUGCGGUGAAUACGUUCCCGGGCCUUGUACACACCGCCCGUCACACCAUGGAAGUUGGCCAUGCCCGAAGUCGUUACUCCAACCCUUGUGGAGGAGGACGCCGAAGGUGGGGCUAAUGACUGGGGUGAAGUCGUAACAAGGUAGCCGUA
rnacentral:rRNA from 1 species